UGCUCACACUUCAGAUGUUC
rnacentral:siRNA from 1 species